UACAGGGGGUGCAAACGUUGCUCGGAAUUAUUGGGCGUAAAGGGCGCGUAGGCGGAGGGAAAAGUCAGAUGUGAAAUCCCGGGGCUCAACCUCGGAACAGCAUUUGAAACUCUUCCUCUAGAGGGUAGGCGGAGAAAACGGAAUUCCACAAGUAGCGGUGAAAUGCGUAGAUAUGUGGAAGAACACCGGUGGCGAAGGCGGUUUUCUAGCUUAUUCCUGACGCUGAGGCGCGAAAGCAAGGGGAUCAAACAGG
rnacentral:rRNA from 1 species